UACAGAGGGUGCAAACGUUGUUCGGAUUUACUGGGCGUAAAGCGCGUGUAGGCGGUCAAUCAAGUCGGGUGUGAAAGCCCUGGGCUCAACCUAGGAAGUGCACUCGAUACUGGUAGACUUGAGUCUCGAAGAGGAUGGUGGAACUCUCGGUGUAGAGGUGAAAUUCGUAGAUAUCGAGAAGAACACCGGUGGCGAAGGCGGCCAUCUGGUCGGUGACUGACGCUGAGACGCGAAAGCGUGGGGAGCAAACAGG
rnacentral:rRNA from 1 species